rnacentral:rRNA from 1 species
GAUGAACGCUGGCGGCGUGCUUAACACAUGCAAGUCGAACGGUGAAGGCGGAGCUUGCUCUGCUGGAUCAGUGGCGAACGGGUGAGUAACACGUGAGCAAUCUGCCCCUGACUCUGGGAUAAGCGCUGGAAACGGCGUCUAAUACUGGAUACGAGCUGCGAAGGCAUCUUCAGCAGCUGGAAAGAACUUCGGUCAGGGAUGAGCUCGCGGCCUAUCAGCUUGUUGGUGAGGUAACGGCUCACCAAGGCGUCGACGGGUAGCCGGCCUGAGACGGUGACCGGCCACACUGGGACUGAGACACGGCCCAGACUCCUACGGGAGGCAGCAGUGGGGAAUAUUGCACAAUGGGCGAAAGCCUGAUGCAGCAACGCCGCGUGAGGGACGACGGCCUUCGGGUUGUAAACCUCUUUUAGCAGGGAAGAAGCGAAAGUGACGGUACCUGCAGAAAAAGCGCCGGCUAACUACGUG